rnacentral:rRNA from 3 species
CACCGCGGUUAUACGAGAGGCCCAAGUUGACAAAUGCCGGCGUAAAAUGUGGUUUAUACAGUAUUGCACUAAAGCUAAACUUCUUCAAAGCUGUCAUACGCACUCGAAGAAAAGAGGACCUUCCGCGAAAGUGGCUUUAAAUAAUAUUAACCCACGAAAGCUAGGAAA